AACAAGAUGAAGUGGGAGAAGGCUAUGGCUGCUGAACGUAGAAGGGAGGACUUGUUCUUAGGAGUGGCGUUGGGUCUGAAAAGAAGAGGCGGCCUUGCAGACGGGCAGGAUGGCAAUUACAAGGACUGUCAAAUCACACUUGGGCUCCUCGUCUUCCUAAGCCGUGUUGUCGUUUCAGUGGGAUUCUUAGUCCACAGACACUCUCUGAGCAGUCAUCAUAUUCCUAGCAGAUUGCUUUGGCCUCUUCUACACCAAUCCUGCUGGACACCUGUGAGGGAGCCCUAGAUGAUGUUCCUCUGAUCAGAUCACACCACGGCUGGGUUGUAGAAGGAUCUGCAGGAGCCAAGACCAUCCUGUACCAGCCAGUCCUCUGCAGUCCUGCAGUCAGUGCUAUUUGACUUACACAUGAAUGAGCUCAGACAUGG